UACAGAGACUGCAAGCGUUAUUCGGAUUCACUGGGCGUAAAGGGUGCGCAGGCGGCCGUGUGUGUGAGGCGUGAAAGCCCGAUGCUUAACAUCGGAAUUGCACCUCAAACUACACGGCUAGAGCAUUGGAGAGGGUAGCGGAAUUCACGGUGUAGCAGUGAAAUGCGUAGAUAUCGUGAGGAACACCAGAGGCGAAGGCGGUUACCUGGACAAUUGCUGACGCUCAGGCACGAAAGCGUGGGGAGCAAAAGGG
rnacentral:rRNA from 1 species